rnacentral:rRNA from 1 species
AUUGAACGCUGGCGGCAGGCCUAACACAUGAAAGUCGAACGAGUGGCGGACGGGUGAGUAAUGUCUGGGAAACUGCACGAUGGAGGGGGAUAACUACUGGAAACGGUAGAUAAUACCGCAUACCAUCGGAUGUGCCCAGAUGGGUUUGGCUAGUAGGUGGGGUAAUGGCUCACCUAGGCGACGAUCCCUAGCUGGCCUGAGAGGAUGACCAGCCACACUGGGACUGAGACACGGUCCACACUCCUACGGGAGGCAGCAGUGGGGAAGAUUGCACAAUGGGCGCAAUCCUGAUGCAGCCAUGCCGCGUGUAUUAAGAAGGCCUUCGGGUUGUAAAGUACUUUCAGCGGGGAGGCGUUACCCGCAGAAGAAGCACCGGCUAACUCCGUGCCAGCAGCCGCGGUAAUUC